AUUGAACGCUGGCGGCAGGCUUAACACAUGCAAGUCGAGCGAGCGGCGGACGGGUGAGUAAUGUCUGGGAAACUGCCUGAUGGAGGGGGAUAACUACUGGAAACGGUAGCUAAUACCGCAUACCAUCAGAUGUGCCCCGAUGGGAUUAGCUAGUAGGUGGGGUAAGGGCUCACCUAGGCGAAGGUCCCUAGCUGGUCGGAGAGGAUGACCAUCCCCCCGUGAACGUAGACACGGUCCAGACUCCUACGUGAGGCAGCAGUGGGGAAUAUUGCACAAUGGGCGCAAGCCUGAUGCAGCCAUGCCGCGUGUGUGAAGAAGGCCUUCGGGUUGUAAAGCACUUUCAGCGAGGAGGCGUUACUCGCAGAAGAAGCACCGGCUAACUCCGUGCCAGCCGCCGCGGUAAUAC
rnacentral:rRNA from 1 species